rnacentral:rRNA from 1 species
AUGACGAAUAUCACCGAAAGUUCCGGGUACAUGUUCAUGGCCGCCGUCAUAGUGUCCUUAAUAUUUUGGACCGAUUGGCAAGUCUCGCUCACCACCGCUAUCAUGUUCUCCUACUCAACGGGGAUGAUCCUCCUGCUUCUCAAACAUUGGGACAACAAGGAAGACCAACCAGCACGGCGAUGCCAUGAAAGCACAUGGGUGCAGAUGUUGGUGGUCACCGGGAUCAUGUUGGUCUCCUUGGUGUUGAUGGUCUCCAUUUUCCCUGAUAAGUGGGAUCACGUGGCCAUGAUUGUGUUCGUCUCCCUGGUGGCCGCCGCGUUUAGUUUCUUGCUUCUCAAUGUCUGGGAUGCGCAACAUGAAUGGGAACGGGCACAGGCUGCAUCGGCAGGAUUUGACGAAACGUCCACGGAUCUCGCAUAG